rnacentral:rRNA from 1 species
AAAUUGAAGAGUUUGAUCAUGGCUCAGAUUGAACGCUGGCGGCAGGCCUAACACAUGCAAGUCGAGCGGUAGCACAGAGAGCUUGCUCUCGGGUGACGAGCGGCGGACGGGUGAGUAAUGUCUGGGAAACUGCCUGAUGGAGGGGGAUAACUACUGGAAACGGUAGCUAAUACCGCAUAAUGUCGCAAGACCAAAGUGGGGGACCUUCGGGCCUCAUGCCAUCAGAUGUGCCCAGAUGGGAUUAGCUAGUAGGUGGGGUAAUGGCUCACCUAGGCGACGAUCCCUAGCUGGUCUGAGAGGAUGACCAGCCACACUGGAACUGAGACACGGUCCAGACUCCUACGGGAGGCAGCAGUGGGGAAUAUUGCACAAUGGGCGCAAGCCUGAUGCAGCCAUGCCGCGUGUGUGAAGAAGGCCUUCGGGUUGUAAAGCACUUUCAGCGGGGAGGAAGGCGUUAAGGUUAAUAACCUUGGCGAUUGACGUUACCCGCAGAAGAAGCACCGGCUAACUCCGUGCCAGCAGCCGCGGUAAUACGGAGGGUGCAAGCGUUAAUCGGAAUUACUGGGCGUAAAGCGCACGCAGGCGGUCUGUCAAGUCGGAUGUGAAAUCCCCGGGCUCAACCUGGGAACUGCAUUCGAAACUGGCAGGCUAGAGUCUUGUAGAGGGGGGUAGAAUUCCAGGUGUAGCGGUGAAAUGCGUAGAGAUCUGGAGGAAUACCGGUGGCGAAGGCGGCCCCCUGGACAAAGACUGACGCUCAGGUGCGAAAGCGUGGGGAGCAAACAGGAUUAGAUACCCUGGUAGUCCACGCCGUAAACGAUGUCGAUUUGGAGGUUGUGCCCUUGAGGCGUGGCUUCCGGAGCUAACGCGUUAAAUCGACCGCCUGGGGAGUACGGCCGCAAGGUUAAAACUCAAAUGAAUUGACGGGGGCCCGCACAAGCGGUGGAGCAUGUGGUUUAAUUCGAUGCAACGCGAAGAACCUUACCUGGUCUUGACAUCCACAGAACUUAGCAGAGAUGCUUUGGUGCCUUCGGGAACUGUGAGACAGGUGCUGCAUGGCUGUCGUCAGCUCGUGUUGUGAAAUGUUGGGUUAAGUCCCGCAACGAGCGCAACCCUUAUCCUUUGUUGCCAGCGGUUAGGCCGGGAACUCAAAGGAGACUGCCAGUGAUAAACUGGAGGAAGGUGGGGAUGACGUCAAGUCAUCAUGGCCCUUACGACCAGGGCUACACACGUGCUACAAUGGCAUAUACAAAGAGAAGCGACCUCGCGAGAGCAAGCGGACCUCAUAAAGUAUGUCGUAGUCCGGAUUGGAGUCUGCAACUCGACUCCAUGAAGUCGGAAUCGCUAGUAAUCGUAGAUCAGAAUGCUACGGUGAAUACGUUCCCGGGCCUUGUACACACCGCCCGUCACACCAUGGGAGUGGGUUGCAAAAGAAGUAGGUAGCUUAACCUUCGGGAGGGCGCUUACCACUUUGUGAUUCAUGACUGGGGUGAAGUCGUAACAAGGUAACCGUAGGGGAACCUGCGGUUGGAUCACCUCCUUA